UGCUGCUCACCCUGCUGCUGCUGCUGCUGCUGCUGCUGCUGCUGCUGCUGCUGCUGCUCGUUGUGUUGCUGCAAGAGUGGCUGCCGCUCCUCCUGCUGCUGUUGCAGCAGCUGCCGCCGCUCCUGCUCUAACAGCUCCCAGUGCCGCUGCCUGUCUAGAUCCUCCUGCUCCUCCUCCUCCCUGAGCUGCUGCUGCAACUGCUGCCACCGCCUCUCC
rnacentral:lncRNA from 1 species